rnacentral:rRNA from 1 species
UACAGAGGUCUCGAGCGUUGUUCGGAUUCAUUGGGCGUAAAGGGCGCGUAGGCGGUCGGGUAAGUCUGAUGUGAAAUCUCACAGCUUAACUGUGAAACUGCAUUGGAUACUAUCCGGCUCGAGGAAUGGAGGGGAGACUGGAAUACUUGGUGUAGCAGUGAAAUGCGUAGAUAUCAAGUGGAACACCAGUGGCGAAGGCGAGUCUCUGGACAUUUCCUGACGCUGAGGCACGAAAGCCAGGGGAGCAAACGGG